rnacentral:rRNA from 1 species
UACAGAGGGUGCAAGCGUUGUUCGGAAUUAUUGGGCGUAAAGCGCGUGUAGGCGGCUUUGCAAGUCGGGUGUGAAAGCCCUCGGCUCAACCGAGGAAGUGCAUUCGAAACCGCAUGGCUCGAGUCCCGGAGAGGAUGGUGGAAUUCUCGGUGUAGAGGUGAAAUUCGUAGAUAUCGAGAGGAACACCAGUGGCGAAAGCGGCCACCUGGACUGCACCUGACGCUGACACGCGAAAGCUAGGGAGCGAACGGG